AUGGAAAUUUAUUUCGCCAAACAGUGCAGAAGCCACUCAAAAGUGAAAUGAGCAAUGGAGGGGAGGAAGGAAAGAUUGGUUGAUUUGCUGUAUCAGAUGAAAUUCAUGGGUGAAUGAAAAAGAAAAAAAGGUUUGCAAGAGGAUGGAUGAGUGAGAUUGAAAAAAUAUUAGAUCUCGAAUAAAUUCUUUCUAUCCAUCUUUCAUAGUAUACAAUCGAAAACAAGAUAGAACACAUCCAUGCCAUCCAUACUUCUAUCUUUUUUUUUCUUUCUCUCUCUCUCUCUCCCCCCCUAGCAUUCCUCCAACAACCUCUUUAUAAACGAUAUCCUCUUCUCUUCCCUUCCUACACCAAUAUCCUCCUAUUUUGUCUCUGAUGUCAUGCUGACCUCCACCCACUUUACACUUUUACCUCGCCAUUGCACCGUGUCGCUUACCGCAAAACCUCAUCGAGUCAUGGAUGCGCAACGUCACCACCAUCGUAAGCGAAUACAGAGUUGGAACGAGCGGCUCGCAUGAUGCCAAUGACGUACGUUAAC